CAUUCUGCCCUUUAAAGUAGAACAUUGGCUUCCACAUUUACAAUUCUUCUGUGGAGUUAUUAAAUCCAUAAAUAAAGAUUUAAUCUUUUAAGCUCUGCAUCGUGAGAGCAGAAGAGCAGGCAGAGGAGAGCUGACCAGCCUUGGAGGCCAGGGUAGCAAAGGAGGAAGCGGCUGGGCUGCUAGGGCAGAGGAGCAGGCGAGGCUGCCGUGGUGGAGAGGAGCAAAGAGCAGAAGGACGGCCCCUGCCCUCUGGCUGAAGGAACAGAAGAGCCCUCCUGGGGCAGAAACCACCCUGCCGAGGCAGCCACAGAGAGGCUAGACCGCAGGCCCUAAGGAGACCUAUCCUGCAGGCUGGGAGGAAUACCAGGACAGUCUCAACAGCUCUCCAAACAGACAUGUUUUGACCUUGAGCAGCAUCCCGGGCUCAGACAUUGGCUCAGGUUCCUUGACGAAGACGGCGAGAGGAACACGUUGGUUUCUCUGGCAGACAGAUGCAAGGACCAGCACAGAUCCCCGACAAACUGGGCAAAUCAACAGAAGAUGUGGAAUCCUUCCAGGCAGGGCCAGGAGAGAAGGAGUCACUUACCUCUAAAGCAGCUAGUCGGCGUUCCAUGUACUCCACAAGGUGCUGCUGCUGUCCUUGAAUGGGUCCCGACCACGACAAAAG